UAAGUCCCGCAACGAGCGCAACCCUUGAUCUUAGUUGCCAGCAUUUAGUUGGGCACUCUAAGGUGACUGCCGGUGACAAACCGGAGGAAGGUGGGGAUGACGUCAAAUCAUCAUGCCCCUUAUGACCUGGGCUACACACGUGCUACAAUGGAUGGUACAAAGGGCUGCAAGACCGCGAGGUCAAGCCAAUCCCAUAAAACCAUUCUCAGUUCGGAUUGUAGGCUGCAACUCGCCUACAUGAAGCUGGAAUCGCUAGUAAUCGCGGAUCARCAUGCCGCGGUGAAUACGUUCCCGGGCCUUGUACACACCGMCCGUCACACCACGAGAGUUUGUAACACCCGAAGUCGGUGGAGUAACCGUAAGGAGCUAGCCGCCUAAGGUGGGACAGAUGAUUGGGGUGAA
rnacentral:rRNA from 2 species